CGAGUUGACAGACAGAAACUCAAUCAGCUGCAGAGAUUGUAUAUCAGACUUCUGGAGGAGAUGAUGAAGAUGUACCUGCUUUAGGGGUUAUCGGUGCAGUCAUGUUAUCAAGGGGACACAACAAUGAUGAUGAUGAUGAAGAAGAAGCUUCUUUGUUUUACAAUGGGGAAAAUCACUAUAACGUGACUGGAAACCUGAUUGGAAACCUCACGUUCCAACCACCAUGGUUGGAUGAAGAUGAACCAUCAGGUGACAACUCGGGUGAAAACAACGCCCCCUCUUCUUCCUUUACGGCCAAUCCACUCUGUCUGGUCUUCGUUCUCUUGGUUCCCUUCAUCUUAGCAUGUUAAUAAAGCUUUUUGUUUCACGAUAAACUACAAUGUACUAAGUCGUUGUGUUAAAUUAUCCACGACAAGUUUUUUCGGUAUCUCUUAUGCCUCCUUUUAUCUCCAAUAAGCCUCUGCUAACACUGUUAAGAUCAACAAUGUUUGACUAAUAAAAUGAGUUAUAAUCUUAUUAGCUUCUUAAGUUUACAUUUUGUUGUGGGUUUCAAUGAGGCCCCUCAAGGCCUUUCGGGACUGAAUUCUGAGUUUUCUGAAGUCAUUUUGCAGAUUAGAUUGGGGCGGUGGUGGUGAAGUCCAUAGGGACUUGGCUUGGUAACUGGAAGGUCACCAGUUCAAGUCCCGGAAAGACCAAGUGCUACCGAGGUGUCCCUGAGCAAGGCACCGUUCCCUACACUGCUCCCCGGGCGCCGUUCAAAAUGGCAGCACACUGCUCCUAACACUAGGAUGGGUCAAAUGCAGAGACACAAUUUCCCCACAGGGAUUAAUAUAUAUCAAAAUCAAAUCAAAAUUAAUAUGGAUUUAAGGAUUUCACCUUGUCUUAACUUUUAGGUUUGAAAGUAUAAAUGUUUGUUCUUUAAUUGUGAGAUGCCACUAGACACUCUUAAAUGGGUUAUUUCACUCUUUGAAAAUGUAUUUAAUGUUUGAGUUUAUCCUUCGUUAAAGUGAAUGUGUUUCUUGUUGCUUUAUUUCAUUAAAGUGAAUAAUCCCAGCACUUUUUCCACAACUGCCGACUGUAAAACCUCCGUUUUUUAACUGUGGCCAUAAGAUUUAAAUGUUUUGCAAGGAAAAAUAGAAAUAAAAGAAGUUUAAGAUCAUGUUAUCAACUUCUAGAGAAGCAAGACACUCUUGAGCUCA